UCCCUGAUGGUCUAGUGGUCAGGAUUCGGCGCUCUCACCGCCACUGCCCGGGUUCGAUUCCUGGUCAGGGAA
rnacentral:tRNA from 1 species